GACGAACGCUGGCGGCGUGCUUAACACAUGCAAGUCGAACGGAAAGGCCCUGCUUUUGUGGGGUGCUCGAGUGGCGAACGGGUGAGUAACACGUGAGUAACCUGCCCUUGACUUUGGGAUAACUUCAGGAAACUGGGGCUAAUACCGGAUAGGAGCUCCUGCUGCAUGGUGGGGGUUGGAAAGUUUCGGCGGUUGGGGAUGGACUCGCGGCUUAUCAGCUUGUUGGUGGGGUGGUGGCUUACCAAGGCUUUGACGGGUAGCCGGCCUGAGAGGGUGACCGGCCACAUUGGGACGGAGAUACGGCCCAGACUCCUACGGGAGGCAAGAGUGGGGAAUAUUGCACAAUGGGCGGAGGCCUGAUGCAGCAACGCCGCGUGCGGGAUGACGGCCUUCGGGUUGUAAACCGCUUUCGCCUGUGACGAAGCGUGAGUGACGGUAAUGGGUAAAGAAGCACCGGCUAACUACGU
rnacentral:rRNA from 1 species